rnacentral:misc_RNA from 1 species
UGUGAAACAGCAGACGCUAUCUCAGCAGUAUAAACCCUUGCCUGAUCCUCACUGAAGAUCCCCUGCCGAUAAAGAUGAAAGAAGAGAUGACCACCAUUUAUAAAAUCCAGGAUCAAAUAAAGCUUAGCCUUGGUCUGGAAAGAGUAACGAAGCUGAACAAUAAAGGGAUGCACGACUUUGGUGAGGAUAUCCCUCUCAGCCUUCAUGUAAUCGACAUGAUUCUUUUUGAUAAUAGUAUCCUUUCUCAUCACUUUCAUUGCAUAAAUCCCAUCCCCAUCUCCACAAUUACUCCUUUUGUAUUUCACUUGAAACACCUUACCAAAGGCUCCCUGCCCAACAACUCUCAGGAUCUCGAAAUCACCAGGCCCAAUCUUACUACCCACUUGCUCACUCUUCCCCUUCUUGUCAUCCUCCUCAACAAUAACCUCAUUUUCAUUUUCGAGAUCCUCUUCUUGGAUUUGAAAAGGGGAAGAAGAGGAGGGGGUGUAGCGAGGGGAGGGACCCACGAACGAAUGGGAACGGUUG